GCAGGUGGUGGGCCUGGCUAGCCCCAGCAGGACACUCUGAUUAGCCCAGCAGGGAAUUGAUAAUAGAGUUUAUCACCCCUAACACAAUGUUUAUCGCCCCAUUAAGAAAACAACAGAGGGACAUUACCAGAUACCUGCUGAUUCUACCUGUUGAUU